GAAGAAGGAUCAGAGCAAUCAGAUACUUCGUUGUUCCUAUCUAUGACUAUGCGACUAGGGAUGAAUGGAACAUCACAUUUCAGUACCUUAUGAGAAAUCGAAGUCUUUGGUUCUGGGGGAGUAUGUCGCAAGGACUGAGACUUAAAGAAAUUGACGAAGGCACCACAGAGUGAGCUGCGGGCGUGAGUGGGACUCAACACGGCGAAACUUACCAGGUCCAGACAUAGUAGAGAGUAGACGAGAGUGAUAGCUCUUUCAUGAUUCUAUGGGUGGUGGUGCAUGCCGUUCUUAGUUGGUGGAGUGAUUUGUCUGGUUAAUUCCGAUAACGAACGAGACCUUAACAUGCUAACUAGAUAUUUUCAUUUUAUGAAUAUAUCUUCUUAGAGGGACUAUAUGCUUUAAGUAUAUGGAAGUUGAGGCAAUAACAGGUCUGUGAUGCCCUUAUAUGUCCUGGGCUGCACGCGUGCUACACUGAUAUAUACAACAAGUGCCUAGCUAGAUAUAGUAUGGCAAUCUCGAAUAUAUAUCGUGAUGGGGAUAGAUCUUUGCAAUUAUAGAUCUUGAACGAGGAAUUCCUAGUAAGUGCAAGUCAUCAUCUUGCAUUGAUUAUUUCUCUUCCCUUUGUACACACCGCCCGUCAAGCUCCUACCGAUACCGGGUGAUCCGGUGAACCUGUGGACCCUUAUGGGAAAAAUAAGUAAAUCAUAUCACCUAAAAAAGAAGUCGUAACAAGUAAAGGAUCCCGGGCCUUUCGCCAGA
rnacentral:rRNA from 1 species